AGUGAACGCUGGCGGUAGGCCUAACACAUGCAAGUCGAACGGCAGCACAGUAAGAGCUUGCUCUUACGGGUGGCGAGUGGCGGACGGGUGAGGAAUACAUCGGAAUCUACUUUUUCGUGGGGGAUAACGUAGGGAAACUUACGCUAAUACCGCAUACGACCUACGGGUGAAAGCAGGGGAUCUUCGGACCUUGCGCGAUUGAAUGAGCCGAUGUCGGAUUAGCUAGUUGGCGGGUAAAGGCCCACCAAGGCGACGAUCCGUAGCUGGUCUGAGAGGAUGAUCAGCCACACUGGAACUGAGACACGGUCCAGACUCCUACGGGAGGCAGCAGUGGGGAAUAUUGGACAAUGGGCGCAAGCCUGAUCCAGCCAUACCGCGUGGGUGAAGAAGGCCUUCGGGUUGUAAAGCCCUUUUGUUGGGAAAGAAAGGCAGCAGGUUAAUACCCCGCUGUUCUGACGGUACCCAAAGAAUAAGCACCGGCUAACUUCGUG
rnacentral:rRNA from 1 species